rnacentral:rRNA from 1 species
CAAAGGAAUUGACGGGGACCCGCACAAGCGGUGGAUGAUGUGGAUUAAUUCGAUGCAACGCGAAAAACCUUACCUACCCUUGACAUGCCAGGAACUUGCCAGAGAUGGCUUGGUGCUCGAAAGAGAACCUGGACACAGGUGCUGCAUGGCUGUCGUCAGCUCGUGUCGUGAGAUGUUGGGUUAAGUCCCGCAACGAGCGCAACCCUUGUCAUUAGUUGCCACCAUUCAGUUGGGCACUCUAAUGAGACUGCCGGUGACAAACCGGAGGAAGGUGGGGAUGACGUCAAGUCCUCAUGGCCCUUAUGGGUAGGGCUUCACACGUCAUACAAUGGUCGGUACAGAGGGUUGCCAACCCGCGAGGGGGAGCCAAUCCCACAAAGCCGAUCGUAGUCCGGAUUGGAGUCUGCAACUCGACUCCAUGAAGUCGGAAUCGCUAGUAAUCGUGGAUCAGCAUGUCACGGUGAAUACGUUCCCGGGUCUU